rnacentral:SRP_RNA from 1 species
GCCAGGUGUUGUGGCGGGCGCCUGUAGUCCCAGCUACUUGGGAGGCUGAGGCAAGAGAAUCGCUUAAGCCCAAGAGUUAGAGGUUGCUGUGAGCUGUGACGUCACGGCAUUCUACCAAGAGCAACAUAGUGAGACUCUUGUCUCAAAAAAAUAAAAAUAAAAUAAAAUAAAUACAAUUAAGAAAGAACAUGUUGUCUCCGAAGGAUGGAGUCAGGUUAAUUCAGUUUCAACAUCAUAUAUUGCUUAUAAAUUUUUUUUUUUUGGAAGACAGUCUCACUAUAUCGCCUUGGGUAGAGUGCCAUGACGUCACAGCUCACAGCAACCUCCAGCUCUUGGGCUUAAGUGAUUCUCUUGCCUU